rnacentral:rRNA from 1 species
UACGGAGGAUCCAAGCGUUAUCCGGAUUUAUUGGGUUUAAAGGGUGCGCAGGCGGGAUAAUAAGUCAGUGGUGAAAGUUUGCAGCUUAACUGUAAAAUUGCCGUUGAAACUGUUAUUCUUGAGUGCAGACAAGGUAGGCGGAAUGUAUUGUGUAGCGGUGAAAUGCUUAGAUAUAAUACAGAACCCCGAUUGCGAAGGCAGCUUACCGGACUGUAACUGACGCUCAGGCACGAAAGCGUGGGGAUCAAACAGG